rnacentral:rRNA from 1 species
GAUGAACGCUGGCGGCGUGCCUAAUACAUGCAAGUCGAGCGAACAGAUGAGGAGCUUGCUCCUCUGACGUUAGCGGCGGACGGGUGAGUAACACGUGGAUAACCUACCUAUAAGACUGGGAUAACUUCGGGAAACCGGAGCUAAUACCGGAUAAUAUAUUGAACCGCAUGGUUCAAUAGUGAAAGACGGUUUUGCUGUCACUUAUAGAUGGAUCCGCGCCGCAUUAGCUAGUUGGUAAGGUAACGGCUUACCAAGGCAACGAUGCGUAGCCGACCUGAGAGGGUGAUCGGCCACACUGGAACUGAGACACCGUCCAGACUCCUACGGGAGGCAGCAGUAGGGAAUCUUCCGCAAUGGGCGAAAGCCUGACGGAGCAACGCUGCGUGAGUGAUGAAGGUCUUCGGAUCGUAAAACUCUGUUAUUAGGGAAGAACAAAUGUGUAAGUAACUAUGCACGUCUUGACGGUACCUAAUCAGAAAGCCACGGCUAACUACGUG